rnacentral:ribozyme from 1 species
GGUACGGAUCCGACGCCUCUCGUAGGAUACUUAGGCUCUCCGUACCCUACUCCUACUCAAAACGUCCCCGACGUACAGAACGGUAACAUGUCUCUCCUCAUAUCUGAGCUUGGGUAUACGGGGAAAUAAAUGCCCACUGGCGUAUGGUGGAGCAAGCC